rnacentral:lncRNA from 10 species
AUUGGGAAAAAAAAAUACAUACAUACAUAUACAUGUAUGUAUACCCAUAUAUAUGUAUAUACAUGCAUGUAUACCCAUAUAUAUGUAUAUACUUACAUGUAUAUACAUAUAUAUGUAUGUACGUACAUAUAUACCCAUAUCUAUGUAUGUACGUACAUAUAUACCCGUAUAUAUGUACGUACAUAUAUACACAUAUAUGUAUGCACGUACAUAUAUACACAUAUAUGUAUGUACGUACAUAUAUACACAUUAUGUACAUACAUAUAUACGUAUAUAUGUACAUGCAUGUAUGUAUGUAUAUACGUACGCAUACACACAUAUAUUUAUAUACGUACGCAUACACACAUAUAUGUAUAUACGUACGCAUACACACAUAUAUGUAUAUACGUACGCAUACACACAUAUAUGUAUAUACGUACGCAUACACACAUAUAUGUAUAUACGUACGUAUAUACACACAUAUAUGUAUAUACGUACGUAUAUAUGUAUUUUUAUGUUUUAUGUAUAUGUAUUUUAUAUGUAUAUAUAUCUGCACAUCCUUCACUAUUUUCAUGAGGAAAUUGGAGCUCAGGGAUCUUAGUUACCUUGCCAAAAUCAUGUGACUGAAUAGUAACAAAAGUUUGGGCUUAAAAUAAGGAAGACUGAUAAUAAGUGUUAAGCUUAUAUUCCUGUCUAACAAUGACCCCUGGCAAAGACAUCUGAUAUAUAAGCCACGUCUGAUAUAUAAGACGUGAUAUAUAAGCCAGAGGCACUGAAUGAACAUUGGCGAAAUGGACAAGAAGGGUGGGACACUUAUGUCCAGGGACUAGGUGAAAGUCCUGGAGCUUUUGGCUUUCCAGCCACCUUCCCAGCAUAAAGAAAUUGUAGCUAAAGUUAAGGGAAUGAAUAGAAGUAUUGGCCAAAAGAGAAAUUAUUUUGUUGUUUAAGAGAUCUGGCCGGGCGCGAUGGCUCACGCCUGAAAUCCCAGCACUUUGGGAGGCCGAGGCAGGCAGAUUACGAGGUCAGGAGAUCCAGACCAUCCUGGCUAAUGCGGUGAAACCCCGUCUCUAGUAAAAAUACAAAAAAAAUAGCCAGGCAUCGUGGCGGGCGCCUGUAGUCCCAGCUACUCAGGAGGCUUAGGCAGGAGAAUGGCGUCAACCUGGGAGGCGGAGCUUGCAGUGAGCCGACAUAGCGCCACUGCACUCCAGCCUGGGCAACAGAGCAAGACUCCGUCUCAAAAAAAAAAAAAAAAAAAAAAAGAGAGAUCCAGAGGUAACUUUACAGUUACAUUUUCAUCACUGCUUCUGUAAAUUUACUUUAGUAAAAGCUGUCUAUUCUCACUUUAUUUUCCAAAAUCUCUUAAAAAAUAAUAGUGAUUAUGCUUCAAGGUUUCUGAAAAUGCUUCCACUUGUGGGAAAUUUUGUUGCAAAAUGGUUUUCUUUCUAAACUUACGCUAGUUAGUUAAAUGCAAAUUAAAGUUAGUCGUCUUAGGAGUUCAUCAUAGCGUGAGUAAUGGUUUGAUUAAUGACAUUUUGGUAGAGGUCCUAUUUUUUUUCAUAAAAGUGCUCAAUUUGAGAUGACUUGUUGCAAGUAUACUCAUUUACAGGUAAGAGUCAGCUCCCUAUAUUCUCUCAGAGUCAUUGUUAUGGUUAUUAUUGUAAGUAUUUUACAUUAAUUUAACAGAAAUUUUUUCUUCCCUAACUUAUAACUCAACUUUAUGUAAAUACAGUGAUCAUCUUAUAAAAAUCAAAUUACAGAAUGUCUUAAAAUCUGUAAAUUUGACUUUGUUUUAAUGUUGAAACUACAAAUUCACAGAGGCAUAAAUCUAACAUCUUAAUUAAAAUGUCAACCAUAUGCAAGAAGAAAGAUAGAAGUUAUUUAGAAAGUUUAAUUUGAAAACAGAAUAAUGAAGCAUUUUAAUUGAUAUAGGAUUUGUUAGUAUGGCUUAAAAUCAGUGGACUAGAAGUAGCUGUGUAGGUGGUGGUUGGCAUUAUAGUUGCAUUUAUAUAUGUUCUUAUUAAUUUCAGUUUCAAAAUUGUAAGAAGCAUAUGCAUAUUUUUAAGGUGACAUUGAAAAGUACUAUAAAGAUUCUAAAUAUGUUGUUUUUACAAAACAAAAUGUAAAUAAAUUAUUGAUUUAAAAUCU